GACGAACGCUGGCGGCGUGCCUAAUACAUGCAAGUCGAACGCUUCUUUCCUCCCGAGUGCUUGCACUCAAUUGGAAAGAGGAGUGGCGGACGGGUGAGUAACACGUGGGUAACCUACCCAUCAGAGGGGGAUAACACUUGGAAACAGGUGCUAAUACCGCAUAACAGUUUAUGCCGCAUGGCAUAAGAGUGAAAGGCGCUUUCGGGUGUCGCUGAUGGAUGGACCCGCGGUGCAUUAGCUAGUUGGUGGGGUAACGGCUCACCAAGGCCACGAUGCAUAGCCGACCUGAGAGGGUGAUCGGCCACACUGGGACUGAGACACGGCCCAGACUCCUACGGGAGGCAGCAGUAGGGAAUCUUCGGCAAUGGACGAAAGUCUGACCGAGCAACGCCGCGUGAGUGAAGAAGGUUUUCGGAUCGUAAAGCUCUGUUGUUAGAGAAGAACAAGGACGUUAGUAACUGAACGUCCCCUGACGGUAUCUAACCAGAAAGCCACGGCUAACUACGUG
rnacentral:rRNA from 1 species